GACGAACGCUGGCGGCGUGCUUAACACAUGCGAGUCGAACGGAAAGGCCCUGCUUUUGUGGGGUGCUCGAUUGGCGAACGGGGGAGUAACACGUGAGUAACCUGCCCUUGUCUUUGGGAGAACUUCAGGAAACUGGGGCUAAUACCGGAUAGGAGCUCCUGCUGCAUGGGGGGGGUUGGAAAGUUUCGGCGGUUGGGGAUGGUCUCGCGGCUUAUCAGCUUGAUUGUGUGGUAGUGGCUUACCAAGGUUUUGACGGGUAGCCGGCCUGAGAGGGUGACCAGGCACAAUGGGACUGAGAUACGGACCAGAAGCCAACGGGAGGCAGCAGUGGGGAAUCUUGCACAAUGGGCGGAAGCCUGAUGCAGCAACGCCGCGUGCGGGAUGCCGGCCUUCGGGUUGUAAACCGAUUUCGACUGUGCCGAAGAGUGCGUGACGGUAAUGGGUAAAGAAGCCCCGGCUAACUACGUG
rnacentral:rRNA from 1 species